rnacentral:rRNA from 1 species
GACGAACGCUGGCGGCGUGCUUAACACAUGCAAGUCGAACGAUGAAGUUCCUUCGGGGAUGGAUUAGUGGCGAACGGGUGAGGAACACGUGAAGAAUCUGCCCUCCACUUUGGGAUAACUCCGGGAAACCGGGGCUAAUACCGAAUAUUGAAACAUAAGCGGCAUCGCUGAGUUUUGAAAGAAUUUCGGUGGAGGAUGACUUCGCGGCCUAUCAGCUUGUUGGUGAGGUAAUGGCUCACCAAGGCAACGACGGGUAGCCGGCCUGAGAGGGCGACCGGCCACACUGGGACUGAGACACGGCCCAGACUCCUACGGGAGGCAGCAGUGGGAAUAUUGGGCAAUGGACGCAAGUCUGAUCCAGCCAUUCCGCGUGCAGGAUGACUGCCCUAUGGGUUGUAAACUGCUUUUAUAUGGAAGAAUAGCAUAGAUUCAUCUGUGUAUGACGGUACCAUAUGAAUAAGCACCGGCUAACUCCGUGCCAGCA